rnacentral:rRNA from 2 species
AGUGAGCGGGAUGAGCUCAAAUUUAAAAUCUGGCUGGUUUACUAGUCCGAAUUGUAGUUUAUAGAAGCGUUUUCGGUGGCAGCCUGGGUAUAAAUCCUUUGGAAUAGGGUAUCAUAGAGGGUGAGAAUCCCGUCUUUGACUCAGUGCAUGCUACUAUGUGAUACGUUUUCAAAGAGUCGAGUUGUUUGGGAAUGCAGCUCAAAAUGGGUGGUAAAUUUCAUCUAAGGCUAAAUAUUGGCGAGAGACCGAUAGCGAACAAGUACCGUGAGGGAAAGAUGAAAAGAACUUUGAAAAGAGAGUUAAACAGUGCGUGAAAUUGUUGAAAGGGAAACGCUUGACACCAGUUAUGCGGGUGGAAAAUCAGUCUUUUGCAAUGGGGAGUUGUGGGCGUUCAGACCGCAAGGCUGGCGUUUGCUUCAUCUUUGUUGUAAGUGAUGCACUUUUUCAUUUGCAGGUCAACAUCAGUUUGCUUUGCUGGACAAAACCCCAAGGGAAGGUGACAGCUUAGGCUGUGUUAUAGCCCUGGGGCGAUACAGUGGAGUGGACUGAGGUUUCGCAGUGUGUGCUCUCGGGCAAGGCUGACUGGGUGCUAUGGGAUCGUUCGGCGUACAAUGCAUGCAUUUUGCGUCGUGUCUUUUUCAUACUCGCUCAACUCGGCUCUUCCACGCUUAGGAUGUUGACUUAAUGGUUUUAAUCGACCCGUCUUGA